AGGAUUGUUUAUAUACAAACAGGUUGUUCCUCCUGAGAUGUUUUUGAGGCACAUGAAAACCAAUGCGCGCCAAGAGUGCAGGCGAGUCAAUUUUGUUAAUGAUCAAGUUGUAAAUAAACCUGGCUUGAUGAAAUUCCCUACGACGUUCAAGAGCUCCAAUAUCACCCUCGAGAAGCAGAGAGCCAUAAUCUACACCUCUCUCUGGGAAUGCACCGUGGCGUAAAUAUAGUGAUGUAAAUUGGCGACCAAACCACAGAAGCAUACUCAAGUUUAGUGCGUACGAGUGUAUUAUAUAGUGUCUUCAGAGCAUCUUCAGAUUUCAGCUCUCUUGAAUUCCUAAAAAUAAAGCCUAAGAGCUUUAACGCCUCAGAACAAAUGGUGGUAAUGUGGGUAUUAAAGUUCAGUUUAGAAUCAAACGUUACGCCAAGGUCCUUAAUCAUCACACAACGUUUAAGCGAACAAUUAUUUAUAACAUAAUUAUGCAAUUGCGUAACCUGCUUACGAGAGAACGACAUCACACUACACUUAUCCACAUUAAGAUUUAAUUUGUUAGACAGCGACCAAUUGACGAGGCACAAUCACCAAGGGAUGAAAGUAUAUCAUUACAAAAUAUAAUAAACAAGAGUGGGCCGAGGUUUGACCCCUGUGGCACUCCCGAGGACACUUUGUAAUAAUCCGAUUUGAAGUUCUUAUAACAUACACAUUGACGACGAUCAGUAAGUUUUUCAGCUUAUUUAUGAGUAACCUAUGACAAACGUUGUCAAACGCCUUGGAGAAGUCGGUGUAAAUGACGUCCACUUGAGAUACAGAACCAAAAGCAUCCAUUAUGAACUCAGUGAAG